rnacentral:tRNA from 1 species
GGGGGUAUAGCUCAGUGAUAGAGCUUUCGACUGCAGAUCGAGAAGUCCUUGGUUCAAACCCGGGUGUCCUCU